rnacentral:rRNA from 1 species
UACGUAGGAUGCAAGCGUUGUCCGGAUUUAUUGGGUUUAAAGGGGGCGUAGGCGGCCUAUUAAGUUAGUGGUGAAAACGUUCGGCUUAACCGGAUACCCGCCAUUGAUAGUGAUAGACUUGAGUGCGACAGAGGGUGUUGGAAUGUGUGGUGUAGCGGUGAAAUGCUUAGAUAUCACGCAGAACACCAAUUGCGAAGGCAGAUGCCUAUGUCGUAACUGACGCUGAGGCUCGAAAGCGUGGGGAGCAAACAGG